ACCUGGCUGGCUCAGUCCAUGGAGCUUGUGACUCUCGAUCUCAGGGUUGUGGGUUCAAGCCCCAUGUUGAGUG
rnacentral:tRNA from 1 species